rnacentral:misc_RNA from 1 species
UUUAAAAAAACGGGCGUUUAGAUACUCUUUAAAUUCUUAUGAAUCUUAAAGAGUAUGAAUUAAAAAAAGGCUUUAUGAAGAAAGCACUUUAAGCUUUUCCAACGAUUUAAGAUGAUACCGGGGAAGGUUUUUCCGGUUUAUCCCGGAGGGCUUGUAGCUCAGUUGGUUAGAGCGCGCGCUUGAUAAGCGUGAGGUCGGAGGUUCAAGUCCUCCCAGGCCCACCAAUUUAUGCUCGUUUUUUGCUUAUUCUUGAGCGUUAUGAAGCUUAAGCGUGUCAAAGCCUCUUUAAUCUUUGUUCAUAGUUUAAAGAUUUAAUUUUAACGUCCCUUCAAGGGUGCAGAUAAAUUUAAAGAAUAAAAAUCAAAAUAAUAUUGAUUAAAAGAGGAUUAAAAGAGGACAAGUCAUUCAAGUUGAUCAAUUUUCUUGAGAUUGAUUUGAGAGAGCAUUCUUUAGGGGCCGUAGCUCAGCUGGGAGAGCACCUGCUUUGCAAGCAGGGGGUC